UCAUAGAGCAACAAAGCUUAAAAGAAGAAACAAAUUAGGUGAGAGUCUCUAGUUGAAAUCCAAAGAUAGUGAAAGAGAUGAAGGAUUAAGGCAGCUGAUCAAGGUCCUGUGUGUCUGCCAAUUUCUUUUCUUUUGGCUCUCUCCACUUUUGGAGCCAAAUAGUGUAAAAUUCAUGUUACAAUAGUUAUUUAACAUUCCUAGAACAUCUUACAUAAUGUCAAGUUUUAUUUUGUCUAAUGUCCAAGAUUAAUUGAAUGCUGCACAUCCUUUGUGAAACAACAAUAAAUGUGUUCCAAUUCAAUCUUUAAGAACAAUAAUUGGCCGAGGGCAAAUCUAGUCUGAGUGAUGCCAAAAACAUUUCUCUCAACACGCACACAAAACCAGCAACAAUCAAGAAAAUCUCAAAGGCCAAUUCGCAGCUGUUUCUUUACACAUUAUUUACCAAAACAAAUGAAGCUUUAAGGUAUGUAGGAGAAAUAACGCAAAUACUGACGUUGCAAAAUUUAAAGUAAAGUACAAAAUUCACGGAACAUUGUCGCUGGACUGCAAAAUAUAUUAGCCGCCCCCGAAUUAACUUCUUAUACCGCAUUGUAUAAACAACUUUAAAAAAAGUAUUUUAAAUUUAGAAAUAAAUAUGUAACCAGCAGGUAAUGAAACUAAU